rnacentral:rRNA from 1 species
GACGAACGCUGGCGGCGUGCUUAACACAUGCAAGUCGAGCGGUAAGGCCCUUUCGGGGGUACACGAGCGGCGAACGGGUGAGUAACACGUGGGUGACCUGCCCUCAGCUCUGGGAUAAGCCUGGGAAACCGGGUCUAAUACUGGAUAUGACUCCAUGACGCAUGUUGUGGGGUGGAAAGCCUUGUGCGACUGAGGAUGGGCCCGCGGCCUAUCAGCUUGUUGGUGGGGUGANGGCCUACCAAGGCGACGACGGGUAGCCGGCCUGAGAGGGCGACCGGCCACACUGGGACUGAGACACGGCCCAGACUCCUACGGGAGGCAGCAGUGGGGAAUCUUGCGCAAUGGGCGAAAGCCUGACGCAGCGACGCCGCGUGAGGGAUGACGGCCUCGGU